UACGGAGGGUCCGAGCGUUAUCCGGAAUCAUUGGGUUUAAAGGGUCCGUAGGCGGGAAUCUAAGUCAGUGGUGAAAUCUUGCAGCUCAACUGUAAAAUUGCCAUUGAUACUGGAUUUCUUGAAUUAGUGUGAAGUGGUUAGAAUGUGUAGUGUAGCGGUGAAAUGCAUAGAUAUUACACAGAAUACCAAUUGCGAAGGCAGAUCACUAACACUAUAUUGACGCUAAGGGACGAAAGCGUGGGGAGCGAACAGGAUUAGAUACCCCAGUAGUCC
rnacentral:rRNA from 1 species